UAAUACUUACUGGUAUGCCUUCUCCUUUAUAGCUGUUAUAGACUUUAUCGAGUGCUUGUAUAGCUGCUUGUGAAUCGGAGUGAUGUGAGGUGGGACUUAUCCUGAACACUAAGUCUAUCAUCCUGAACUGGUUUGAGGUUUAACCUAAAAUUACAAGUCAACGAUCUGAGCACUUCAACAACCAGAGCGGGAAUG